GCCAUGAAUAUCAUUAGUCAUAACACAGCUUUGGUGAAUACUCUAUUUUGAUUGGUCAAUCACAGCAUUCUACGUACAGGAGACGGUUGGCAAUAGUGCUAAUCGCUGCCACUCUGCACGGGGCACUAGCUGGCUCGGGCUUCUGUGGGAGAUCUCUGCUCAUUCAGAGCUCGUACCGCUGAUUAAGGGAUCACAAAGGGAGAGAGGGUGGAGGAAACUGGUAGCAUAACGGGAGAGGUGCUCAUCAGUGGAAUCGUCAACCAUCCCGACCGGGAUGCCGGCUAUCGGAGGGUAACCUCAAUAUGAGCACCAAUCACCCUUAGAAGCCUACCAUGGGCGGUGUGCAGAGCAUUGCGGCAGUGAGGCGCUGGUCAUCAGCCAGCGAGACAUAACCAUGAAGGGAGGGGCCAACCGUUUCAGGAUUUACCAAACAGAUCUGCUUUAGAUAGGAUGUUGGGUAGUCUAGCAUUGCCAGACCUCCACAGCACUGUUGAGUAAGGUCUUACUACACCAUACAUACAUUCUAGGAUAAGA